rnacentral:rRNA from 1 species
GUUAGCACUACAUCAUCCAAACACCCCAUAUCUUAUCUGACAUAGAAAGCUAAAGGGUUAGGCCUGGUUAGUACAUGGAUGGGAGACCACCAGGAAAAGCCUAGGGAUGUCUAGGU